GGCGAACGCUGGCGGCGUGCUUAACACAUGCAAGUCGAACGGAAAGGGCCUGCUGUUUGCGUGUGUUCGAGUGGCUAACGGGUGGGUAACACGUGCGUAACCUGCCCUUCACUCUGGGGUAACUUCCAGAAACUGGGGCCUACUCCUGCCAGAUGCUCCCUCUGCAUGGUGUGGGGGGUAGAUUUUCGGCGGUUGGGGAUGGUCUCGCGGCUUAUCAGCUUGUUGGUGGGGUAGUGGCUUACCAAGGCUGUGACGGGUCGCCGGACUGAGAGGGUGACCGGCCACAUUGGGACUGAGAUACGGCCCGGACUCCUACGGGAGGCAGCAGUGGGGAAUAUUGCACAAUGGGCGGAAGCCUGAUGCAGCAACGCCGCGUGCGGGAUGUCGGCCUUCGGGUUGUAAACCGCUUUCGCCUGUGACGAAGCGUGAGUGACGGUAACGGGUAAAGAAGCACCGGCUAACUACGUG
rnacentral:rRNA from 1 species